ACGAACGCUGGCGGCGUGGAUAAGACAUGCAAGUCGAACGGGAGAAUUGCUAGCUUGCUAAUAAUUCUCUAGUGGCGCACGGGUGAGUAACACGUGAGUAACCUGCCUCUUAGUGGGGGAUAGCCCUGGGAAACCGGGAUUAAUACCGCAUACGAUUGAAAGAUCAAAGCAGCAAUGCGCUAGGAGAUGGGCUCGCGGCCUAUUAGUUAGUUGGUGAGGUAACGGCUCACCAAGGCGAUGACGGGUAGCCGGUCUGAGAGGAUGUCCGGCCACACUGGAACUGAGACACGGUCCAGACACCUACGGGUGGCAGCAGUCGAGAAUCAUUCACAAUGGGGGCAACCCUGAUGGUGCGACGCCGCGUGGGGGAAUGAAGGUCUUCGGAUUGUAAACCCCUGUCAUGUGGGAGCAAAUUAAAAAGAUAGUACCACAAGAGGAAGAGACGGCUAACUCUGUGCCAGCAGCCGCGGUAAUACAGAGGUCUCAAGCGUUAUUCGGAAUCACUGGGCGUAAAGCGUGCGUAGGCUGUUUCGUAAGUCGUGUGUGAAAGGCAGGGGCUCAACCCCUGGAUUGCACAUGAUACUGCGAGACUAGAGUAAUGGAGGGGGAACCGGAAUUCUCGGUGUAGCAGUGAAAUGCGUAGAUAUCGAGAGGAACACUCGUGGCGAAGGCGGGUUCCUGGACAUUAACUGACGCUGAGGCACGAAGGCCAGGGGAGCGAAAGGGAUUAGAUACCCCUGUAGUCCUGGCAGUAAACGGUGCACGCUUGGUGUGCGGGGAAUCGACCCCCUGCGUGCCGGAGCUAACGCGUUAAGCGUGCCGCCUGGGGAGUACGGUCGCAAGAUUAAAACUCAAAGAAAUUGACGGGGACCCGCACAAGCGGUGGAGUAUGUGGCUUAAUUCGAUGCAACGCGAAGAACCUUACCUGGGCUUGACAUGUAAUGAACAACAUGUGAAAGCAUGCGACUCUUCGGAGGCGUUACACAGGUGCUGCAUGGCCGUCGUCAGCUCGUGUCGUGAGAUGUUUGGUUAAGUCCAGCAACGAGCGCAACCCCUGUUGCCAGUUACCAGCACGUCAAGGUGGGGACUCUGGCGAGACUGCCCAGAUCAACUGGGAGGAAGGUGGGGACGACGUCAGGUCAGUAUGGCCCUUAUGCCCAGGGCUGCACACGUACUACAAUGCCCAGUACAGAGGGGGCCGAAGCCGCGAGGCGGAGGAAAUCCUGAAAACUGGGCCCAGUUCGGACUGUAGGCUGCAACCCGCCUACACGAAGCCGGAAUCGCUAGUAAUGGCGCAUCAGCUACGGCGCCGUGAAUACGUUCCCGGGUCUUGUACACACCGCCCGUCACAUCAUGGAAGCCGGUCGCACCCGAAGUAUCUGAAGCCAACCGCAAGGAGGCAGGGUCCUAAGGUGAGACUGGUAACUGGGAUG
rnacentral:rRNA from 1 species